GGAAAGUUGGUAGAGCGGUUGAAUACACCAGUCUUGAAAACUGGCAUCCCUUCGCGGGGAUCGAGGGUUCGAAUCCCUCACUUUCCGCCA
rnacentral:tRNA from 1 species